GAUGCGUUAGAAUAGUUUGGUUAAUUCACUACACUGUCACUGUAGAGAUCACGGGUUCAAAUCCCGUACGCAUCG
rnacentral:tRNA from 1 species